GAGGAAAUGAUAUCCAUGAAUCAACUUAAGGCAACAAAGUGAUGCUGAUGUAAUAGACAAUAAAAUGAUUAUUAGGUGUUAGGUAUUUUCAUAGAGAGAGCUGGCAGCCUGAAUCGAAAGACCUUAUGCAGGUCUCCUGUCUUUUCCUCCUCAGUAAAUUAUUUUGUGGGAAAUAAAAGAGACAGAGCACAAGAGAAUGCAAAGGAAAUCAAUUGUGUCUGGAUCUCUCCUUCCACCCUGUACAAUUUUAUAAACAAUGUGCACUAUUGCACAGUAAACAUUUCCUAUGAAAGACUUCUAAUCUCAAUUUCACAAUGAAGUUCAGGGUACAAACAUGAACUUGUCACAGUAUCUCUUUUUAGGUACAUCACAGAAAUGUGAAGAAGAAAAAAUUAGAUAAAGUGAAAUGAAAUAAAAUUGUGAAAACAGAAUGCAGUAAUCUGCCCAUAAUCUUACUAUAUUUAUAUGAAAGAAAUAAGUCACUUCUCUUGCUUAUUUAUCUUUAAAAUGAGAAGGUGAUCUUAGGUUCACUGAGAAUAAAGGAAUGAAGGAAGGGAAGAUUUGAUCUAACUUUUGUAUGUGGAAGGAUCAGGAUGUCUUCAACUCUGAGCCAGUUUCCUUUCAGGUAUGGAGUAUGAAUGCAGAUUUGAUCUGUGACAUCUGAAGUCCAGUGAAUGGAGGUGAAGAGAAUCGAAAUGUUAUUAUAUUACUAAAUUAGUUGGCUGACAACAAAGUAUACUAUCAAUAUAUUUUUGAGUCUGAGCUACCCUUCAUGUAGGAAUAGAGCAGAGAGUAGCUUCAAGAAGGCUAACAUUGGGAAAAAAUCUGCCCUACGUGGACUACUAGGUACCAAUUUUUCAACAGUCCUCUAACACCCAUUCUUGAAGAACAAGGAGUAUUAUCAUUAAUUAUUCAGUAUCUUCCCCUAUUGAGCUAGCUAUGCAUUAUAGUUCAUUCUCCCAGAAGUAGAGCACCAUUAAGAGGAAAUAAGAGCAUACAAUGUUUGUAGAAACCUGAGUCAUUUUGAAUAAUAAGAUAUACAGAGUUUCUGCCACAGCAGAUUUUACAAUAUUGAACAAAAAUAAACUACACGAAUUAGGGAUAACAAUAUUUAGAUUCAUACUAAAUAGAUGUUGACUCAGAAAAAAUUAAUAUAAAUCUCAAUUUAUCCCAUCCAUGGUUAGAAGUAAUUACAGUGUAGCGCAUUUCCAUACCACCAGCAUUUUCCAUUCCCAAAUAAAUGUUUUCUGGAACUGAUUUGCAAAUGACUUCACUUAUGAUGAUCUUAAAACAAAGAGCCAAGCAUCUUCACUCUUUUCGCCUUCAGCUGAUCAACAGGAGUAUAUGAAGAACAUCUAGGGUCCCACCAACAUCUGCAAUCAUGCAUAGACACACGUAUACAUAUCCUCCCUUACAAGGACAGAUAAAAGAAAAAUAUUCAAUGCUCCAAUUCUAUGUCCCAUAAAAAAGAAAUGCUGUUUAGAUAUGUACUUGUGGGUUUUCAGGACAAGAUCACUCAAAUAAAAAAGAAGCAGUACUUCGCUCACAUGGUUGCAACUGCCACCUUGACUUAUUUUGACAACUCCGACCACCUCUGAUGUCCCUGUUGGUUUUGACAAUUUGCAAAAUGAAAACCAAAAAGUGGGAGGUUGAUAGGAAACUAUGUAAAGGAAGGUCAAUUGUAAAUAUGCAAAUAAAAGUGCUUAAAGGAU